CCUACGGGAGGCAGCAGUGAGGAAUAUUGGUCAAUGGACGAGAGUCUGAACCAGCCAAGUAGCGUGAAGGAUGACUGCCCUAUGGGUUGUAAACUUCUUUUAUAUGGGAAUAAAAUGUUCCACGUGUGGGAUUUUGUAUGUACCAUAUGACUAAGGAUCGGCUAACUCCGUGCCAGCAGCCGCGGUAAUACGGAGGAUCCGAGCGUUAUCCGGAUUUAUUGGGUUUAAAGGGAGCGUAGGUGGAUUGUUAAGUCAGUUGUGAAAGUUUGCGGCUCAACCGUAAAAUUGCAGUUGAAACUGGCAGUCUUGAGUACAGGAGAGGUGGGCGGAAUUCGUGGUGUAGCGGUGAAAUGCUUAGAUAUCACGAAGAACUCCGAUUGCGAAGGCAGUUCACUGGACUGCAACUGACACUGAGGCGCGAAAGUGUGGGUAUCAAACAGGAUUAGAUACCCGAGUAGUC
rnacentral:rRNA from 1 species